GGGGUUGUGGGUUAGUGGUAGAGUGCUGGCCUAGCAUGCAUGAGGCACUGAGUUUGAUUCUCAGAACCACA
rnacentral:tRNA from 1 species